rnacentral:tRNA from 1 species
UAGCUCAAUGGUUGAGCGUUGGCUUUGAGAGCCACAGGUCGGUGGUUCGAGCCCACC